rnacentral:rRNA from 1 species
ACAUGCCUAUAGCAUAGCGUUAAUGCAUCAGAUCCCAUUAAAACUCUGAAGUUAAGCACACUCAGGCUAGAGUAGUACUGGGAUGGGAGACCGCCUGGGAAGUCCUGGUGUUUUACAUGCC